UUUCCUAGCACAUCCAUCAUCCGUAACACAAAUGAGAGGGCCCGAAGAUCAUUCAGAGUGCAGAGCACUAGUGAACACUCUGAGAACCUCCACAGACACCCACACUCUGGCACUUGGCAACAGAGAGUUAAUGUCCUGGGGCCAAGGCUGCCUCUCAGCAUGUUCAAAUGUGAAAUCAUAAUAAAGACACCGAGGGAUUUAGUCAUGAGCCCUCCCCUCCACCAUCAGAUGGAAUGGCAAAAAUGCAGAGUGCUGGGAGCCAGGACAAUUUCAUUUUCCUCCUAACCACGCAAAGAAUUUGCAUUUAAAAUGAGCAUCUCAUCAGCCUUCCAAGAAUGCUCAUCACUGGCUGCUAGCAUUAGCAAGAAUAAAAGCGAUCCCAUGCUACCCUACUUUCUCAUUAUUGCAACCAAAGUACCUGGCAGCCUUGCAGGCCACAGGACUCUGCUGGUUAGUCGAAUCUUAUAAGGCAGGUGCCAGGACAACACACCAAGUGUAAUCAGAUGAAUAAAAAGGAACACGGUGACAGCCCUGCCCUGGGGUCAGGCUUUACUUUCUCUACCAUGUCACAAGGGCAAGCGAAGCGGCAUCAGGAAACAAGAGAUGCAUAUGAAAACCAAAGUGGAAGCCGACAGGAGGGAGAACUUUGAAGUCAUCAUUUCUUCAGCAGCUAUUAGCUGCGUGACAACCAGCGCAGCGCAAACAUUGGGAGCCUUACCCGGACAGCGGCUGGCUGGGUGGUGGGGGCAAGUGUGAGGCCACCCAGCCAAGAAGGCAAUGGUGACGGACACUGGUAAGAUCUCUAAGUUAACAUCAGUGGUGCUUGGAAUCCCAUCUAAGAAGCAGAACCUAUUUUGUGUGUAGGUGUGUAUACGUGUUGGUGCACAUGCGGAUGCAUGUGCACAUCUGCCUGCAUCUGUGUAGCCGCCACAGGGAAACUGGAGUUCACCACUUUCCAAUUAUAUCCCAAGCUGUGUGGAUCAGCAAACCUUAAGAAUUGUGGUGUCACUAUGACGGCCUUCUGUCAUGUCCACUAGUCACAAGACAAAAGGAACAGAAGUGACAGAGGAUUGCAGAAGGAUUCACUGUUAAAUAGGCUGAGGACCUGAGGAUGACAGAGCCAUCCCAACCAUGCUCCACCCUAGAGUUAUUGCCUGCGGAGUCUCUCCACCUCCUACAGGCUGAGACAUCUCGUAAAUGGCACCAAAUAACACAACCUGGGCUGGGGAGAUGGCCCAGUGGGCAAAAUGCUUGCUGCUGCAAAUGUGAGGACCUGAAUUCGGAUUCCCAGUUGUGGUAGUUUGAAUGUAAUUGGCCCCAUUAGCAUUUUGCAUUAUGAUAUUAUUAAAAACUUACGGGGGACAGGGAGUAGAAUGUGAUUGGCCCCCGUAACUUUAUAGGAAGAGGCACUAUUAGGAGGCAUGGCUUUGUUGGAGCAGGUAUGGACUUGUUGGAGGAACUGUGUCACUUGUGGGGUGGGCUUUGAGGUUUCAUAAGAUACUCAAGAGACUGUCCAGUGUCACAAUUCACUUCCUGUUGCCUUCUGAUCAAGAUGUAGACAGCACCAUGUCUGCCUGAACACCACCAUGCUCCCCGCCAUGAUGAUAAUGGACUGAACCUUUGAAACUGUAAGCCAGCCUCAAUUAAAUGAUUUCCUUUAUAAGAGUUGCAGUGGUCAUGGUGUCUCUUCACAGCUAUAGAAACCCUAACUAAGACAGCAGUGUUUUAAAAAGUCUGGCUAAAUUGAUGAUCUCCAGGUUCGGUGAGACUCUGCCCCAGAAAAUACAGGUGGAGACUGAAGACACUAGACGUUGACCUUUAGCCUACACACACACACACACACACACACACACACACACACACACACACACACACACUCAUGCAUCUAUGCACAUACAAAACCCAAGAUACAACACAACCAACCAGGUCACUGUCUUCAACUCACAGUCCAUCUCUAGCUGAGAACUAUAAAUCAGAAAUACACCAAGCACCAGGCCCCCAACAUAAAUGAUUCAAAGCUCGCUACUUUUUUUUUAAAGGUGUAUUUUAUUUUUAAUUAUGUGUCUAUGGGCAUGUGUGGAGGGGGUAUGUGUAUGUGUGAGGGCGGGUGCCUGUGGAGUCCAGAAAAGGGCAUCAGACAGGCAGCUGUGAGUCACUGAUGUGAGUGCUGGGAACUGAACUCGAGUCCUCCGUGACAGGCCUCACUCUCAGCCACUGGGCCAUCUCCCCAGCCCUGCAAACUUGCUACUUUUAAUCCCAUGUUGAGAAGUCAGAGGAAGGCAGCAGAAUGACCUUGCCUGACACACAGCGUGAAGGGACACUGGGAAAAGGCCCGAGCACAAGAGCCAGCUUUGUCCCCAUAUCCGCCAUCACUGCAUAAGCUCUUACUGUGACCAAGAUGCCAGCAUGGUUGCAGAGAAGCAGCUGGCCCAUAAAGGCACCAUUGUUGACUCACACAGGCAAGAUUUCCACAUCCCAAGGCAGGGAAGCCAAGGCCAACAACACUAGGUAAGAAACAGUUGGACCGACCCGACUGUCACACCAACGCCACUGAGCGCAACUGCUUUUUCCACUUUCUGGCAAAGUCGCUUCCAAAACAUACCAAAUUUUCAAAGCAUGGCUAAUCACACAAGAGAGUUGAGUUGGGCUCUCAUGGGCCACACAAAAGAAAAACACAGCAGGAACCUGAUCAGGUGUCAACCACAAUGAAGAAGAGACUGCUGGAAGCCAAGCUGUGAAGGACAGAAAAGGUGACAUGGCCACCAUCCCUGUCAUCCUUCAUCUGCCAACACACUCACACACACACCACACCACACUCAUACACACACCACACUCACAACACACUCACACACAACACACACUCACACACAACAUACACACAACACACUCACACACAACACACACUCACAUACAACAUACACACAACACACUCACACAUACACACACACACACACACACACACACACACACACACACACACACACACACAACACACAUGAGCAAGCAUUCACCUAUACAUCCCUUCCCUUUGUCAGUCCCCUCAACAUAUCAGAGCUCUAUAGUCAGCAGGUGAAGAGAAACCCUAACACAUACCAGUCAAUUUCCAACCCCUUCUAAGCUCUUUACUGCUGUCCCAGAAGGAAUUCCUGGUCUUGGGACAAUGUUCUUCAAAGUCAGCAGAAGUCUGACCCCCAGGAAGAAGGGACCAGCUCUGCUAUAGCACCAAUAAUCCCGACCUUAAAGAAAUGAAAGCUGGACCAAGCGAGAAUCCUGGGCAGUUAAUAGUGUAUGGUGACCUGAGUUCAAUCCCAGAGACCCACAUUGAAAAACCCCAACAGAGUAGUGAGCACCUGUAAUCCCAGCGCUCCUACCAUAAGAAGGAAAGUGGAGACAAGAGAGUCACACACAAACUCACAGGCCAGCUAGCCUGAGUACAUACCACAGCUGAAACAAGAGAUCCUGCCUCAGUGGGGUGGGAGGAGAGAAGUGACUUCCAAAAAGAUGUCCUCUCACCUCCAGGUGCACACUGUGGCACACACGAAGACACACAAGAAUCUGCAAUUCAUCACCAGGAAAGCAAAUGCUGGUGAGGACAUGGACAAAAAAGGACCCUUAUACUGCAACUGGGAAUGUAAAUCAGUCCAGCCACCAUGGAAACCAGCAUGGAGGCUCCUCAAGAAAAAUAGAAUAUACCACAUGACUCAGAUACACCAAGCCUGGCUGUUCACCCAAAAGAUUUUAAGUCAAGACAUCACAGAGAUGCUUGCAAUCAAUGUUUGCUGCAGCAGUAUGCACAACAGCUAAUUUAAGGAACCAACCUAGGAGCUAGGUGAGGGUGGCACAGCCCUCCUUUAAUCCCAGCACUCUGGAGACAGAGACAGGUGGAUCUCUGUGAGUUUGAGGCCAGCCUGGUCUACAGAGUAAGUCCAGGACAGGCAGGGCUGUUACACAGAGAAACCCUGUACCAAACAAACAAACAAAAAAAGAACCUGUCUAGGUGUCUGUUUAGGGUGGUUUAAAUGUAACUGGCCCCCAUAAUCUCAUAGGGAGUGGCAUUAUUAGGAGGUGUGGCUUUGUUGGAGUUGGUAUGGCCUUGGUGGAAGAAGUGUGUCACAGUGGGGGUGGGCUUUGAGGUUUCCUAUGCUCAGGAUACUGCCCAGUGCCUCAGUCCAUCUCCUGUUGCCUGCAAGAUGUAGAACUCUCAGCUACUACUCUGGCACCAUGUCUGCCUGCAUGCCACCAUGCUCCCCAUCAUGAUGAUAAUGGACUGAACCUCUGAAACUGUAAGCUGCCACCUCAAUUAAAUGUUUCCAUCAUAAGAGUUGCUGUGGUCAUGAUGUCUCUUCACAGCAAUAGAAACCCUGACUCAAGACUGUGCUCAUCAAUAAAGAAAUGGAUAAAGAAAAAGCA